UGGGGCCCAAGCUAGUUGGUGGGCAAGCCAGGACCAGAACACUUGGCCCCAGCACCCACGUGUACCUGUGUGCUCAACCUGCAUCCUCACCUCCAAGAGCGCACACAGUCCUAGCGGAAGCCUGGGCUCUGAGCCAGCCUGCUGGGGCUGGAAUCCAGGCUGUGUGACUCUGGGCAUGUGUCUCGACCUCUCUGUGCUCCAAGUGUCCUCAUCUAUAAAUGUGGGUGAUAACAGCACCUACCUCUUAGGGUUGCCGUGGGGAUUAAAUCUAGCCAUUUAUUUUUUUAAACUACUACUCACAUUGGUGCUUACCACAUGUCAGACACCGUUCUGAGCACUUUAUAAAAGUUAAGCUGUUCCUAACGACCCUGACCAGACAGGUCUCACAUUUUAUACUUAAGGAAACUGAGUCACGGCGAGCCUAACUCAGUCAGUAAGUGGCAGAGUUGGCAUGCAAACCAGACAGUCCAGGUCCAGGGUCCCUGCUCUUAGAUUACCUGCUGACUCCCAAUAUGGACACUAGAAAACAGGAGGUACUUAACUGUUUAAAAUACCAAUUAUCGUUUAUUAGAUCCGAGCCACAGGAGCUGUAGCUAAUGGUGGCUGUGGCCUGUGAUCGUGAUCUGGGGGGCAGGCAGCCCCCACCCCUGGGGCUUUCCUUCUCCUCUUUCUCCUUGCACCCCCGAAAGGGAAGCCGAGGCCCUGGAAAUCUCUGCUGCUGUCUGCCGUGGGUGCCGCCCAGGCAGGGCUCGUGGCUCCUCCGUCGUAUUCCAGGGGGGAUCUGGCACUUUGUGGUGGGCUCCCCCUUGCCUCCCUGCAGCCCCCCUUCUUCCCUAAAGGGAUGUGAAAUGGUUUGCAAAAACAAUCUCAGCACAGCAGAAUAAUAUAAUUGUAAAAUGUUUGAGAAAAAUGGAGCAAAGCAAAGGCAGCAUCAUUGACUCGGUGGCGGGAGCUCGCUUAUUUGGAGGGUGCGGGGAGUCGGGCUGAGGAUGGGACUGGAAGGAGAGAAGGCAAUUUCCAGGAUCUGUCGCUCAGAGUGAGCCCUGUCUGUGUCCCCUGCUUUCCUGGGUGGGGGUCAGAGCAGCCCUCUGCAGGGGAGGGGUGAUAGCAAGGAGACAGCCACGAGAUUCAGCCCUGGGGGCUACCAGCUUCAGGGGAAAUCCAGGAAGCUGGAAGCCUCCCUCUCUCUGUUCUCUCCUCCUCCUCUUAAUUGCUAUGUGCUUGAAAACCCUCCGGCGUAUUGACCCUUCGUCCCUCCCGAGAAGCAGCAGGACCAGGAAGGACUCGCGUCUCCCAGGCAGCCCGCUCUGCCCUGCGCCUCCAUUUCCUGGCAGUCAAAGGUGACUUUUUCCUCCUCGGAGGAAAGGCCUGUGCUAGGUUCACUCUGACGUCACCAAAAUAAGGAAAUAGCUGAGGAAGACGGCCACAGCUUCUACACUAAGAGAAACCCUACCAAAUUGCAGGGGAGUCUGAGGAAUAUUCCAGAAGGUUGGGGAAGACGUGGACUCCUUGAUGGGGAGCCAAGUCUAGCUUCCAUCUUCAGCAUCUGAGCAUGCCCCCUGCCUCCUCUGAGGACUCCUGCACCAAGGGGGCAGACAGGGAACUGCCAGGCUUUGGGCUCAGAAGACCCAGGCUUAAAUUCCACACACCCGCUGUGUGGCCUUGAGCCAGUUUCAUAACCUCUCUGAGCUUGUUUUCUCAUCUACAAAAUAAAGCUAAUAAUAUCUACCUCGAGAGUCACAGAUUAAAGACCAAAAGUGUGGAAAGCUC